rnacentral:rRNA from 1 species
CCUACGGGCGGCAGCAGUGAGGAAUAUUGGUCAAUGGGCGCGAGCCUGAACCAGCCAAGUAGCGUGAAGGAUGACUGCCCUACGGGUUGUAAACUUCUUUUAUAAAGGAAUAAAGUGAGGCACGUGUGCCUUUUUGUAUGUACUUUAUGAAUAAGGAUCGGCUAACUCCGUGCCAGCAGCCGCGGUAAUACGGAGGACCCGAGCGUUAUCCGGAUUUAUUGGGUUUAAAGGGAGCGUAGAUGGGUUGUUAAGUCAGUUGUGAAAGUUUGCGGCUCAACCGUAAAAUUGCAAUUGAUACUGGCAGCCUUGAGUACAGUUGAGGUAGGCGGAAUGCGUGGUGUAGCGGUGAAAUGCUUAGAUAUCACGAAGAACUCCGAUUGCGAAGGCAGCUUACUAAACUGCCACUGACAUUGAUGCUCGAAAGCGCGGGUAUCGAACAGGAUUAGAUACCCCAGUAGUC